rnacentral:rRNA from 1 species
UUGAACGCUGGCGGCAUGCUUUACACAUGCAAGUCGAACGGUAACAGGUUAAGCUGACGAGUGGCGAACGGGUGAGUAAUGUAUCGGAACGUACCCAGUCGUGGGGGAUAACUCUCCGAAAGGAGAGCUAAUACCGCAUACGUCCUGAGGGGGAAAGCGGGGGACCUGCAAAGGCCUCGCGCGAUUGGAGCGGCCGAUAUCGGAUUAGCUAGUUGGCGGGGUAAAGGCCCACCAAGGCGACGAUCCGUAGCGGGUCUGAGAGGACGACCCGCCACACUGGAACUGAGACACGGUCCAGACUCCUACGGGAGGCAGCAGUGGGGAAUUUUGGACAAUGGGGGCAACCCUGAUCCAGCCAUUCCGCGUGAGUGAAGAAGGCCUUCGGGUUGUAAAGCUCUUUCAGCAGGAGCGAAACGGUCGUUUUUAAUACAGACGGCUAAUGACGGUACCUGCAGAAGAAGCACCGGCUAACUACGU